rnacentral:rRNA from 1 species
GAUGAACGCUAGCGGCAGGCCUAACACAUGCAAGUCGCGGGGCAGCGCGGUGCAGCAAUGCACUGGCGGCGACCGGCGCACGGGUACGUAACGCGUAUGCAACCUGCCCAUUCCCGGGGGAUAGCCCGCCGAAAGGCGGAUUAAUACCCCAUGGACCCUUAGCCCCGCAUGGGGCGGAGGGUAAAGCUCCGGCGGGAAUGGAUGGGCAUGCGUGCCAUUAGCUGGUUGGUGGGGUAACGGCCCACCAAGGCUACGAUGGCUAGGGGGUCUGGGAGGAUGAUCCCCCACACUGGUACUGAGACACGGACCAGACUCCUACGGGAGGCAGCAGUGAGGAAUAUUGGUCAAUGGGCGGAAGCCUGAACCAGCCAUGCCGCGUGCAGGACGACGGCCCUACGGGUUGUAAACUGCUUUUCCGGGGGAAG